rnacentral:rRNA from 1 species
UACAGGGGGUGCAAACGUUGCUCGGAAUCAUUGGGCGUAAAGCGCACGUAGGCGGUCUGUUAUGUCGGAUGUGAAAGCCCUUGGCUUAACUGAGGAAGUGCAUCCGAAACUGGCAGGCUAGAGUACUAAAGAGGGUCGCGGAAUUCCCGGUGUAGAGGUGAAAUUCGUAGAUAUCGGGAGGAACACCAGUGGCGAAGGCGGCGACCUGGGCCAAUAUUGACGCUGAGGAGCGAAAGCCAGGGGAGCAAACGGG